rnacentral:lncRNA from 1 species
AACCUUAAUUAUUAAUGCUUAUUCGAAAGUUUAUUAAAUCUAAACGCUAAACCAUCUUGCUUGAACUCAAAUCAUGCCUAUUAAAUUAAUAUUAUCCCUUGCUACAUCUUGAUCCUACAAAAUUAAUAACCAACUAUAUUUUCCUAAUACUUGCGGAUCUUUGUUGCUAACAAGAUUCAAAAAUCACCAAUUUCAAAUUACUUCUAUUCCAAUAUUCGCAAGUUCAGAG